GGCCGCGGGAAUUCGAUUAAAGCCUAACACAUGCAAGUCGAACGGAAAGGCCCCCCUUGCAGGGUACUCGAGUGGCGAACGGGUGAGUAACACGUGGGUGAUCUGCCCUGCACUUCGGGAUAAGCCUGCGAAACUGGGUCUAAUACCGGAUAGGACCAUCGUUUAGUGUCGGUGGUGGAAAGUUUUUCGGUGCAGGAUGAGCUCGCGGCCUAUCAGCUUGUUGGUGGGGUAAUGGCCUACCAAGGCGUCGACGGGUAGCCGGCCUGAGAGGGUGGACGGCCACAUUGGGACUGAGACACGGCCCGGACUCCUACGGGAGGCAGCAGUGGGGAAUAUUGCACAAUGGGCGCAAGCCUGAUGCAGCGACGCCGCGUGGGGGAUGAAGGCCUUCGGGUUGUAAACUCCUUUCAACCAUGACGAAGCAUUAUGUGACGGUAGUGGUAGAAGAAGCACCGGCUAACUACGUGCCAGCAGCCGCGGUAAUACGUAGGGUGCGAGCGUUGUCCGGAAUUACUGGGCGUAAAGAGCUCGUAGGUGGUUUGUCGCGUCGUCUGUGAAAUUCCGGGGCUUAACUCCGGGCGUGCAGGCGAUACGGGCAUAACUUGAGUGCUGUAGGGGAGACUGGAAUUCCUGGUGUAGCGGUGAAAUACGCAGAUAUCAGGAGGAACACCGAUGGCGAAGGCAGGUCUCUGGGCAGUAACUGACGCUGAGGA
rnacentral:rRNA from 1 species